GACGGCAGCGGCGGCGACAACCCGGAAACGGGCGGAGCGUGGGCCCCGGCAAAAGAAACUAAUAUGCUGUAUGACAACAGCCGAAGAAUAAAUAUCCUUUCAAGUCCAAUCCUGCCUACGAUGUCAAAAUCAAGAAAGAGGAGGUUAUGUGCUGAAACAGAAUGACCUUCACGAGAUGCAGCCUCUGGAUCUUGGACUUCCCCAGCCUCCAGAACUGUAAG